rnacentral:rRNA from 1 species
UACGUAGGGCGCAAGCGUUUGUCCGGAAUUAUUGGGCGUAAAGAGCUCGUAGGCGGCCUGUUGCGUCCGCUGUGAAAUCCCGGGCUCAACCCCGGGCGUGCAGUGGAUACGGGCUGGCUGGAGGCAGGGCAGGGGAGAACGGAAUUCCUGGUGUAGCGGUGAAAUGCGCAGAUAUCAGGAGGAACACCGUUGGCGAAGGCGGUCUCUGGGCCUGUACUGACGCUGAGGAGCGAAAGCGUGGGGAGCGAACAGG